rnacentral:rRNA from 1 species
GAGUUUGAUCCUGGCUCAGGAUGAACGCUGGCGGCAUGCCUAACACAUGCAAGUCGAACGGGGUUUAUAUAACAGAACUCUUCGGAGGGAAGAUAUAUAAACCUAGUGGCGGACGGGUGAGUAACGCGUGGGCAACCUGCCCUGUACCGGGGACAACAGCCAGAAAUGGCUGCUAAUACCGCAUAAGCCUGCGGUGCCGCAUGGCACAGCAGGGAAAACCACGGUGGUACAGGAUGGGCCCGCGUCUGAUUAGUUAGUUGGCAGGGUAACGGCCUACCAAGACGAUGAUCAGUAGCCGGCUUGAGAGAGUGGACGGCCACAUUGGGACUGAGACACGGCCCAGACUCCUGCGGGAGGCGGCAGUGGGGAAGUAUUGCACAAAUGGGGGGAACCCGUGAUGCAGCAAUGCCGCGUGGGUGAAGAAGCACUCCGGUGCGUAAAGCCCUGUCAGCAGGGAAGAAAAUGACAGUACCUGACCAAGAAGCCCCGGCUAACUACGUG